rnacentral:rRNA from 1 species
UACGUAGGGUGCAAGCGUUAAUCGGAAUUACUGGGCGUAAAGCGUGCGCAGGCGGUUUUGUAAGUCUGUCGUGAAAUCCCCGGGCUCAACCUGGGAAUUGCGAUGGAGACUGCAAGGCUAGAAUCUGGCAGAGGGGGGUAGAAUUCCACGUGUAGCAGUGAAAUGCGUAGAGAUGUGGAGGAACACCGAUGGCGAAGGGCAGCCCCCUGGGUCAAGAUUGACGCUCAUGCACGAAAGCGUGGGGAGCAAACAGGAU